UGGGGAAUAUUGGACAAUGGGGGAAACCCUGAUCCAGCAAUGCCGCGUGAGUGAAGAAGGCCUUAGGGUUGUAAAGCUCUUUCGCCCGCGAAGAUAAUGACGGUAGCGGGAGAAGAAGCCCCGGCUAACUCCGUGCCAGCAGCCGCGGUAAUACGGAGUGGGCUAGCGUUGUUCGGAAUUACUGAGCGUAAAGCGUACGUAGGCGGAUGCGCAAGUUGGGGGUGAAAUCCCGGGGCUUAACCUCGGAAUUGCCCUCAAAACUGCACGUCUUGAGACCGAGAGAGGUAAGGGGAAUUCCUAGUGUAGAGGUGAAAUUCGUAGAUAUUAGGAAGAACACCAGUGUCGAAGGCGCCUUACUGGCUCGGUACUGACGCUGAGGUACGAAAGCGUGGGGAGCAAACA
rnacentral:rRNA from 1 species